UCACUUCAGCAGCAUAUAUACUAAAAUUAGAAUGAUUCAGAGAAGAUUAGCAUGGACCCUAUGCAAGGAUGACACACAAAUUCAUGAAGCAUUUCAUAUUUAC
rnacentral:snRNA from 1 species